rnacentral:rRNA from 1 species
ACUCCUACGGGAGGCAGCAGUGGGGUAUUUUCCGCAAUGGACGAAAGUCUGACGGAGCAACGCCGCGUGUAUGAUGAAGGUCUUCGGAUUGUAAAGUACUGUCUUUGGGGAAGAACGAAGUACUUGAGAAAAUUGAGUACAAAUGAC